GUUGUGUUCAUCCUCAGCUUUAGUAGAGUUUUUCCAAAGAAGAGACUCAGAAAACACUCGAAUUGAAUUCCAAGUUGUGGAAGUCCCUUUUCAGCUUGUGGCUAGCAAGUAACACUCUCAGCAAUCAACAGUGCCAUCUCACCACGGGAAGAACAGAGAAGACUUUAUUCAUUUCACGCUGUACAUCUCCAAGGAACCACACCUGAC
rnacentral:lncRNA from 1 species